CCAGGCUGGCUGAAGCUGACUGUUCUGUCUGAAGAUCAGCUGCAGAUGAAAUGGAAGGAGGCAGAAGGGCUGGUGCAGGGCUAUAAUGUCCAUGUGCGGCCCAUCACAGGUGGUGGUGAAUGAAACGGACUCCACAGCUCUGCUGACAGGACUGUCCUCACAGUCAGAGUUCCACCUGUCCAUCUUUCCUGUCUAGAACAAUGUGGGUAUCUCAGAGGCACCUUCACCACAUUAUCUGGAGGUGGUCCGAGCAGUUUAUCCAUUUCAGAGGAGACAGCAGUCAGUAUGCUGGUCACCUGGGUUCACCCCAACGCCUGUGUGCUGCAGUACCGUGUGCUGUACACUCCGCUUAAUGGGGAUGUGAGGGAAAAUACAGUGUCAUUGCCAGGCAGCGAGAGGCGCAUCCUUCUGCAGAAUCUGCUGCCUGACACUCAUUACAGUGUGCUGGUGACUGCUGAGUACCGCAACAGAGAGGGUGGCAGUGCCUGAGCCCAGGGGAAGACCAGUGAGUCACACACACAUCAGUACAGUAUCUCUAGUAUUACAGUGUGUGCUGACCAAGUAUAUACUUUCUACCUGACACUGCAACUGCCUGUGUCUUGUGUUUAAUCUCCUCUCUCUGCACAACCAGCUAGCCUGCGGGUGAGCAGUGUGGUGUGGUCUGACCACUCCAGUAUAUGUGUGUCCUGGAGGCCUGUACCAGCUGUCAGUGGUACAGCAUAGUCAUCCAGGCUCUCAGAGACUAAAGAAGACAUAGUAGAUGCUGCUAGCAGGAGCCAUUGUUUCUCUGAGCUGAAGCCUGAAACUGUCUACCGCAUUAGUGUGCACUCCCGUCUGGUAACAGUAGAGGGCACUGCGGUCACUAUUCUUCACCCUACAGCAACUGCUCCAUUAAGAAUUCAGGUUCCUCCUUGACUGCAUCCCGUACAAAGAGUAGGUAAGACUUUCAACAGUUAAGGCCUGUUCACACCAAAGACAAAUAUUGCCAUGAAUAUUCAGUGUGACCAACCCUUUGAAACAAUGCAUCCUUUUUCAUCUAUUUAUGCCAAAUAAAUUAAUUUUGCAACAGUACAAAGCUGUUCUUCUUUGGUGAGUGUAUCCAUUCUUCAUUCAGCAAUGUAAACAUAAAUCAAGGAUCGUCAAAUCUGGCCCACUAGAUCCACUUUCCUGCAGAGUUUAGCUCUAACCCUAAUCAAACACACCUGAGCAUGCUAAUCAGUUUCUUCAGGAUCAUUAGAAAAUCAGAGGUAGGUGACUCUACAAUUUUCAUAGUCAUGAAAAUAAAGAAAACUCUUUGAAUGAGAAGGUGUGUCCAAACUUUUGGUCUGUACUGUAUACACCCUCACAGGUACAUGAUCAGUCUAGGUUGAGUUGACAUAUCAAUAUGGCACGGAAUUACAUUAUGUAGUGCAGGAUGGUUCAAGUUUCUUUCUGUAUUUUAAGUGUGGUUCUCUGUUCUCUAGAGAGGUGAUGAGAGCUGUCCUGCCCCUGCUUAUGCAUGCACCUGCACCACCGAUGUCCCUGGAGCACCUGGAGACACUGGGCCACCUGUGAGAGAGACUACAACGCUGCAUUUUUAAACUGACACAAACAUUAGGAAGCUUGUGAAAUCAUUUUAGUAGUUGUUUGAAUAAUCAGCAUUGUAAUUAUUGGUGUAAUGAUAUGCUUGUAUUCAGGGGAGACCUGGAACUCAUGGGGAAAAGGGAGAAAAAGUAGAGGUGGGACAAAAAGGAGAGGUGGGUCCACCUGGUAAAUCGGGUCCUGAUGGCGGCUUUGGCACUCUUGGACCCUCUGGUCCUCAGGGAAUAACUGUAAUGGGCAAAAUGGGACCACCAGGAGCAAGAUGGAAAAAGGAGAUAUUGGAAGGCCUGGGAGCCAGGGUUUGCAAGGGCCUUGUGGUCCAAAAGUUGAAGAGGGCAUGACUGGUCCUAAGGCAAGUCUCUAAAUGGUUUGAGGCAGUUGUCCUAUGUGUUUGAAAUGUUCAGUAUCAAUCAUCUUAGUGUCAAUAAAUUGCCCACAGGGCACCAGAUGAAUGGAGGGUAAUAUCGGUAGCCCAGGAAUCCCAGGACCAAGAGAUUUUCAGGGUAUGCCUGGUCAUCCAGGGCCACUGGGAGAGAGAGGGCCAUUAAGUCCUGUAGGGCCCAUAGGUCUUCCUGGAAGUAAGGGUGAGAGGGGAGAGAAGGGUGAGCCACAGUCUCUUGCCAUGAUCUACCAGCUUGUUACACAGGCCUGUGAAAAACUUGUGCACAAUGAAGUCCUGAAGAUGGAUGAUUUUCUGAACGAGAAUCGAAAGCCAGUGCCCAUCCAGGAACCAGAAGCACCACCAUGAGAGCCUGGGAUACCAGGGGGAAGGGGGCCACCUGGAUCCCUAGGCCCUCAGGGUCGACAAGGAAGCAGAGGAGAAUCUGGGAAACCAGGGUACCCUGGUGAACAGGGACACAGAGGGAUGCCUGGUGAGAAGGGCUCUCCAGGAGCAAAUUUGGAGGGACCACAAGGAAUAAAAGGUUUUGCAGGUAUUGAAACAUCCAGGUACAUAUCAAUAAAUUAGAAUGUCAUGGAAAAGUUAAUUUAUUUCAAUAAUUCAACUCAAAUAGUUAAACUCGUGUUUUAAAUAAAUGCAGUGUAAACAGACUGAAGUAGUUUAAGUCUUUGGU